GAGCGACGUGGUAAUGCCGUUAGUACGGCGAGUGAAGCGGCAAAAGCUCAAAUUUGAAAUCUGGCACCUUCGGUGUCCGAGUUGUAAUUUGAAGAAGGUAACUUUGGAGUUGGCUCUUGUCUAUGUUCCUUGGAACAGGACGUCACAGAGGGUGAGAAUCCCGUGCGAUGAGAUGCCCAAUUCUAUGUAAAGUGCUUUCGAAGAGUCGAGUUGUUUGGGAAUGCAGCUCUAAGUGGGUGGUAAAUUCCAUCUAAAGCUAAAUAUUGGCGAGAGACCGAUAGCGAACAAGUACAGUGAUGGAAAGAUGAAAAGAACUUUGAAAAGAGAGUGAAAAAGUACGUGAAAUUGUUGAAAGGGAAGGGCUUGAGAUCAGACUUGGUAUUUUGCGAUCCUUUCCUUCUUGGUUGGGUUCCUCGCAGCUUACUGGGCCAGCAUCGGUUUGGAUGGUAGGAUAAUGACUAAGGAAUGUGGCUCUACUUCGGUGGAGUGUUAUAGCCUUGGUUGAUACUGCCUGUCUAGACCGAGGACUGCGUCUUUUGACUAAGAUGUUGGCAUAUUGGUCUUAAGCCACCCCUCUUGAAACACAGACCAAAAAAAAUAAAAAACCAACAA
rnacentral:rRNA from 1 species